AUGAACAUGUGGUGGAAAGAAUGUUUCCAUGUCCAUAUGCCUCCUUUUCUUAUUAUUCGUACUAAGGUGAGGUGCCUUAUAUCUCAUCAGUUGUCGAUAUGGAGUUCCCCAUGGUGUCCUAUUUGGAGCUCUAUUUAUGAUCAUCUCAUAAUUCAGCAUCAGCCUUACAUUUAUCCUUCCAAUCUUAAAGAUCUAUGGAAACCUAACAAUAAAGCUUGGAAUGAAAAUCUUAUUUACUCUCUGUUUGAUGCCGAGGCAGCAAGCAUUAUUCUCCAAACCCCCAUAAUUCAAACGGAGGGUAAAGAUAUCAUGUGUUGGAAACACACCCAACAGGUUUGGAAAGACAAUAGCAUUGCUCCGAGAAUUCAGACGUUUGCUUGGAGGCUUCUUGAGAGAGCAGUUCCAACAGGCAUGCGGGCUGGUAUGUAUGCCAGACACAUCUCCAAAUAUUGCUCCAUGUGUGAGGCGGAGGAAGAUGACAUUUAUUUGUUUUUCUCAUGCCCAUUUGCUAAAGCUGCUUAG
rnacentral:rRNA from 1 species